GGUGGCGGCAGUGGUGUGUUGUUGGCAGAGAAAAGAAAAGGAGAACAAUGGUUUCGUAGUGCGUUGUCGGCAGCCCGUUUUCCCAAGGUUGAUCAUUGGUGUUAAUGAACUCCAAAAAUAUUUCUGCUUUGUUUACCAAAUCUCUGAUAUAGUGAUGACAUAGCUCAAUACGCUUGGACCGAGCAUGAAAACUGGAUUUUUGGUCAUUGCAAUUGCUGACAUAUUAUCGCAAAAGAUUUUUGUCGGCAUCACCUGCUCCAUUUGAAUAUCUUUAAGGAUUCUCCUUAGCCAAACAGCUUCACAAGCGGCAUCAGUUGCAGCUGUAUAUUCUGCUUCAGUGGAAGACAAAGCUACAAAGCUACAGUUCGUUGCUUUUUCAAACUCCAAGAUAUUGCAUUAGAUCCUAAACAAAACACAUAUCCUGAAGUGCUCUUUCGAUCAUCAAGAGAACCUGCCCAAUCACUGUCAGUGUAGCCAACCAGCUUGCAAUCUCUCUCCCUUACAUACUUGAGCCCAUGACUUUUGGUACCCUGUAAAUAUCUCAAAACUCUUUUUGCAGCAGCAUAAUGAUAUUUGCUUGGAUCAUUCAUAUACCUUGAAAUAAUACUGACAGAAUGCAUAA